UCCCCUAGUAACGGCGAGUGAAGCGGGAAGAGCUCAAAUUUGAAAUCUGGCGGUCUACGGCCGUCCGAGUUGUAAUCUAGAGAGGUGUUUUCCGUGCCGGACCGUGUACAAGUCCCUUGGAACAGGGCGUCAUAGAGGGUGAGAAUCCCGUCCAUGACACGGACUACCGGUGCUCUGUGAUACACCUUCAAAGAGUCGAGUUGUUUGGGAAUGCAGCUCAAAAUGGGUGGUAAAUUCCAUCUAAAGCUAAAUACAGGCGAGAGACCGAUAGCGAACAAGUACCGUGAGGGAAAGAUGAAAAGAACUUUGGAAAGAGAGUUAAACAGUACGUGAAAUUGUUGAAAGGGAAACGCUUGAAGUCAGUCGCGUCUGCCAGGACUCAGCCUUGCUUCUGCAUGGYGCAUUUCCUGGUGGAUGGGCCAGCAUCGAUUUUGGUCGCCGGACAAGGGCGGGAGGAAUGUGGCAGCUUGCUGUGUUAUAGCCUCCCGUCGUACACGGUGGUUGGGAUCGAGGACUGCAGCACGCCUUUGGUCGGGGUUCGCCCACGCCACGUGCUUAGGAUGCUGGCNUAAUGGCUUUAAACGACCCGUCUUGAAACACGGACCAAGGAGUCUAACAUGCCUGCGAGUGUUUGGGCGUUAAACCCAGGCGCGUAAUGAAAGUGAAAAGUUGGGACUCUUUAGUGAGGCACCGACGCCCGAUCCUGACGUUCUCUGACGGAUUUGAGGUAGAGCAUGUAUGUUGGGACCCGAAAGAUGGUGAACUAUGCCUGAAUAGGGUGAAGCCAGAGGAAACUCUGGUGGAGGCUCGUAGCGAUUCUGACGUGCAAAUCGAUCGUCAAAUUUGGGUAUAGGGGCGAAAGACUAAUCGAACCAUCUAGUAGCUGGUUCCUG
rnacentral:rRNA from 1 species